AGGACGAACGCUGGCGGCGUGCUUAACACAUGCAAGUCGAGCGGAAAGGCCCUUCGGGGUACUCGAGCGGCGAACGGGUGAGUAACACGUGAGCAAUCUGCCCUUAGCUUCGGGAUAGCCCCCGGGAAACCGGGAUUAAUACCGAAUACGACCUCGGCCGACAUCGGCUUUGGUGGAAAGUUUUUCGGCUAGGGAUGAACUCGCGGCCUAUCAGCUUGUUGGUGGGGUAAUGGCCUACCAAGGCGACGACGGGUAGCCGGCCUGAGAGGGCGACCGGCCACACUGGGACUGAGACACGGCCCAGACUCCUACGGGAGGCAGCAGUGGGGAAUAUUGCGCAAUGGGCGAAAGCCUGACGCAGCGACGCCGCGUGGGGGAUGAAGGCCUUCGGGUUGUAAACCCCUUUCAGCAGGGACGAAGCGAGAGUGACGGUACCUGCAGAAGAGCGCCGGCUACUACGCGCCAGCAGCCGC
rnacentral:rRNA from 1 species